CUGCUGCUGCUGCUGCAGAGCUGCUGCUGCUGCUGCAGAGCUGCUGCUGCUGCUGCAGAGCUGCUGCUGCUGCUGCAGAGCUGCUGCUGCUGCAGAGCUGCUGCUGCUGCAGCUUCUUCAGUGGCAAAAUUA